GGGGAAUAUUGCACAAUGGGGGAAACCCUGAUGCAGCGACGCCGCGUGGAGGAAGAAGGUCUUCGGAUUGUAAACUCCUGUUGUUGAGGAAGAUAAUGACGGUACUCAACAAGGAAGUGACGGCUAACUACGUGCCAGCAGCCGCGGUAAUACGUAGGGAGCGAGCGUUGUCCGGAUUUACUGGGUGUAAAGGGUGCGUAGGCGGGCCCGCAAGUCAGACGUGAAAGCCACAGGCUCAACCUGUGAAUUGCGUUUGAAACUGUGGGUCUUGAGUGAAGUAGAGGUAGGCGGAAUUCCCGGUGUAGCGGUGAAAUGCGUAGAGAUCGGGAGGAACACCAGUGGCGAAGGCGGCCUACUGGGCUUUAACUGACGCUGAGGCACGAAAGCGUGGGUAGCAAACAGGAUUAGAUACCCUGGUAGUCCAUGCUGUAAACGAUGAUUACUAGGUGUGGGGGGUCUGACCCCCUCCGUGCCGGAGUUAACACAAUAAGUAAUCCACCUGGGGAGUACGGCCGCAAGGCUGAAACUCAAAGGAAUUGACGGGGGCCCGCACAAGCAGUGGAGUAUGUGGUUUAAUUCGAAGCAACGCGAAGAACCUUACCAGGUCUUGACAUCCAACUAACGAAGUAGAGAUACAUUAGGUGCCCUUCGGGGAAAGUUGAGACAGGUGGUGCAUGGUUGUCGUCAGCUCGUGUCGUGAGAUGUUGGGUUAAGUCCCGCAACGAGCGCAACCCUUGUCAUUAGUUGCUACGCAAGAGCACUCUAAUGAGACUGCCGUUGACAAAACGGAGGAAGGUGGGGACGACGUCAAAUCAUCAUGCCCCUUAUGACCUGGGCUACACACGUACUACAAUGGCCGUCAACAGAGAGAAGCGAAACAGCGAUGUGGAGCAAAACUCUAAAAACGGUCCCAGUUCGGAUUGUAGGCUGAAACUCGCCUGCAUGAAGUUGGAAUUGCUAGUAAUCGCGGAUCAGCAUGCCGCGGUGAAUACGUUCCCG
rnacentral:rRNA from 1 species